GAUGAACGCUAGCUACAGGCUUAACACAUGAAAGUCGAGGGACCGGCGCACGGGUGAGUCACACGUAUCCAACCUGCCCUUUACUCUGGGAUAGCCUUUCGAAAGAAAGAUUAAUACCCGAUGUAAAGGAUGGGGAUGCGUUCCAUUAGGUUGUUGGUAAGGUAACGGCUCACCAAGCCUUCGAUGGAUAGGUGUUCUGAGAGGAAGGUCCACCAGAUUGGAACUGAGACACGGUCCAAACUCCUACGGGAGGCAGAAGUGAGGAAUAUUGGUCAAUGGGCGGUAGCAUGAACCAGCCAAGUAGCGUGAAGGAUGAAGGCUUAUGGGUCGUAAACUUCUUUUAUAUAAGAAUAUGUAUUAUAUGAAUAAGGAUCGGAUAACUCCGUGCCAGCAGCCGCGGUAAUAC
rnacentral:rRNA from 1 species